rnacentral:rRNA from 1 species
UACGUAGGGGGCGAGCGUUGUCCGGAAUGAUUGGGCGUAAAGGGCGCGUAGGCGGCUGUGCAAGUCAGUAGUGGAAGCCCAGCUUUUAAGGUUGGAAGUGCUAUUGAAACUGUGCAGCUUGAGUGCAGGAGAGGAGAGUGGAAUUCCUGGUGUAGCGGUGAAAUGCGUAGAGAUAUGGAGGAACACCAGUGGCGAAGGCGGCUUUCUGGCCAGUUACUGACGCUCAUGCGCGAAAGCUGGGGUAGCGAACCGGAUUA